AGCUUUGCGCAGUGGCAGUAUCGUAGCCAAUGAGGUUUAUCCGAGGUGUGAUUAUUGCUAAUUGAAAACUUAAAUCAGAAUCUAAUAUAACCAUGAGUUUGCUAUCUGGUCCUUAACUCAUAAUGCUUGAUCAUCAAAAAACAGU
ensembl:snRNA LOC120099547 U4 spliceosomal RNA